CUGGCUCAGGACGAACGCUGGCGGCGUGCCUAAUACAUGCAAGUCGAGCGAACAGAGAAGGAGCUUGCUCCUUCGACGUUAGCGGCGGACGGGUGAGUAACACGUGGGCAACCUACCUUAUAGUUUGGGAUAACUCCGGGAAACCGGGGCU
rnacentral:rRNA from 1 species